GGAGCAUUGAGUCAGUGAGUGGGAGAGGUUUGUUUGAGACAGGCCGCAAUGGAGAGACCAGCGCACAGGGAAGCGAGGGAACAGCAGGCUCCUUCCAGCAGCGCAUCGAGAUGCAAAUACUUGAUGGGCCAAGACUGUGUCAUAUUUCAUCAGUACAGCAUCUACCAGCUGCUCCAACCAAACAGCAGACAAACACUGGAAGGACCAGGACAAUGUAACAUUGCUUCAGAUCAAAGCCAAGUGUGACCAGCUCAUUAUAAUAAACAGCAGAGAAGAAACUUUGAGAUACAAGUUGCUGUACAUGCACAUUUCCAUAUCGAAGCAACUGACAGGAAAAGUUUGAAAAUAACCUUGAAGAUAGCAAGAAUUGCAGAUGCUGGAGCCAGCUUUCCCAGUUUCACGUGAAAAGGAGAAUAUUGUAGAGGAGAAGACUGAAUUACACGCUACUAGAAUUGAAAGGAUUGAGGUGAGUAAGGAGGAAGUGAGAUCAGUUCUACAAGGUGUGAAGGUAGAUAAAUCCCCUGGGCCGGAUGGGAUUUUUCCGAGGAUUGCCUGGGAAGCUAGGGAGGAGGUGGCAGAGCCCUUGGCCUUGAUCGUUGAGGCCUCAUUGUCUACAGGUUUAGUACCAGAGGACUGGAGGGUUGCAAAUGUUGUGGCCUUGUUCAAGGAUGGCAGUAGGAAUGACCCAGGCAAUUAUAGACCUGUGAACGUUGUGUCUGUUGUAAGAAAAGUUUUGGAAAGGAUUAUAAGAGAGAGGUUUUAUAAUCAUCUAGCAAGCAACAAUUUGAUUGGAGAUAGUCAACAUGGAUUUGUCAAGGGCAGAUCAUGUCUCACAGACCUCAUCGAGUAUUUUUGAGAAGGUGACCAAGCAUGUGGAUGAAGGUAGGGCAGUUGAUGUGGUGUACGUGGACUUCAGUAAAGCCUUUGGUAAGUCUCCACAUGGUAGGCGAUUGAAGAAAAUACGGAGGCUUGGGGUUGAGGGAGAUUUAGCAGUUUGGAUUAGAAACUGGCUUUCUGUAAGAAGGCAACGAGUGGUGGUUGAUGGAAAAUAUUCAGCCUGGAGUCCAGUUACUGGUGAUGUGCCUCAAGGAUCUGUUUUGAGACCACUGCUGUUUGUCAUUUUUAUAAAUGAAUUGGACGCAGGCCUAGGUGGAUGGGUUAGUAAGCUUGCAGAUGACACUAAGGUCGGUGGAGUGGUGGACAGUGUGGAAGAAUGUUGCGGGGAGAAUUGGAUAAACUGCAGAAUUGGGCUGAAAGGUGGCAAAUGGAGUUCAAUGUGGAUAAAUGUGAGGUGAUUGACUUUGGGAAGAAUAAUAGGAAGGCAGAAUACUGGGUCAAUGGAAAGAUUCUUGGUCGUGUGGAUGUGCAGAGGGAUCUUGGUGUCCAUGUACAUAGAUCCCUGAAGGUUGCCACCCAGGUUGAUAGUGC